ensembl:lncRNA
CUUAUUAUGGAUGUUUUCAUAACAUUUAAAUGUUUUUUAGUCUCUGCUAGAAACACUAAAAUACUGAGUAAAUUUUACGACACUAUUUUAGAGUGCGUUUGAAUCAGCGCAUGCGCAUUGGGACAAACGAAAGUACCGCGCAGAUGUCCAUUGUCCGUCCGUUCGUUGGCAGCAGACAGAGUUGUGAAUAUCUCCGGAAUCUCUCAGGCGACUGUUUUUGUAUUUAGCCGGCUGGGACAUGAGGUGACCAGAGAGAGUCAGGAGCGCUGGGCUGUUCAGUGACUAAUCAAAUACUGCACCGUUGUGAUUAGAACCCGAGCACUGACAUGUGACGUGACGCAGUUAUCAGUGGCCUCAUACUAUUCCUUGGUGAAAAAGAAGAGAAACUUUUCGAAGAUUGCCUGGAGGACAAUCGCAGUGAUGCCACUCAACACAUAGUCAAGAUCCUGGUUGUCCAUGGUACUGAUGGAGAAGAACCAGUAGAUGUUUCCAUCAUUCUUGAAGGGAAGGAGGUAUUGACACGAUGCAACAGCACAGCCAAAGCUUGCACGUUGCUAAUGGGACUGAUUUAUUCCCUGAACCUUGCCUACCCCUGGACUCUGCGCUACACCUUUGAGGUGUUUCAAAAACUUUUCCUGGAACUGAAUGGGAUAAAGCUGUCACCAAAAGUACAUCUUUAAAGUUGAAGUUGCUGUCUGAAAGGAGUUUUCUUUCUUAAAUGUUCCUAAUGUUGUCAACAAAGGCAACUGCUGUCAUUCAUGCUCACAAGGUAAAAAAAAAGUUAAAAAUAACCUUUGUUUUAAAGGUUUUAACAGAGGAUUUGAUGUUGUCCUCAAACUUUAAUGUUUUAACCGAAUGCUAAUAUAAAUAUGUUAAUGGAUGUUGCGGUUUAGAAUGUUGUUCAUGUCAGUACAGCAUAUUUUGUCAGGUCAAACCCUCAAUCUGUUUUGUCACCUGAUGUGCCCUGUUUAGUUUAAUGCGUCCAGGAGUCAAAAACAUUUUGAUUUUCCAGUGAUAUGCUUUUUUUCUGUAUAGCGUAAUGAUCACUCAGUAAAGGUAAACUUUUUUCUUUAUUGAUGCUUGAUUGAUGCUUUAUUGAUUUACUGCUGCUGAGAUUUCAUUUAAUUUUUUGUCAUGUGAAAUGUUGACUGCUGUUUCAUGUACAGUUCUACAUAGCUGUAUAAAAUGAGGUGUUACGUAAGGUACCUGACAAAGGUUUAUGAAUAAAUAAUGGAAUUGUAUUUUAGCCGUGUG